ACUAAGUUUCUGUUCUAAUCGCAAUUCUUUUACUUCAUAGAUGUAUUACUGUUUAGGUAAUAAUGAAUUAAUGAUUAUAGAAAGUCUAUUUUCAGUUUCAUAAUAAUAGACAUGCUUGGCUGCUGUUAGUUUUUGAUGACAACAAUGAGAAAUAUUUUGUUUGUAUUGCUUCUGUUAGUUACUUCACAUAAUCAGGAUAGGAGAGAUGGCUUUAGCAAUUAAAUGUUUUACUAGAACUAGUUCAAAACCCUCACCCUCUUCACUUGAAGGUCCCACUGGAAAUGACUUUGCCUUUCAUUCAUCUUGGGUCAAUUUAGCUAAUUUCAAUUUUGCAAAACAAUGGCCUUAUGCCAAUUUAUAUUUAAAAAAAUGGCAAUAUUUAGUUAUAAAUGCUGACCAAUUUCUUUGUUUUUCAAGUAAUGGUUGCCUAAUAUUAUAUCUUUGUAUUUUGUUGAAAAAAAAAAAAUUGUACAGUACCUUUGACCUUCUGAAUCUCAUCCACCUGCGAAUAUAUUUUGGGCUCAUGUUUAACAAGUUUUUUUUUUCUUCCCCAAUAUAUGUUGUUCUUCAUUUUUGUUUCAAAACCUAUUUUCUCAAACUGCCGGAAGUUAUUUUCAUUUAUUUUCCAAUGGAAAAAAAUUAUUUUCGGCUUAAUAUGUUUUCUUUAUUUUUUGGUUUUGAACAUUGCAAAAAAAUAAAUAAUUGUGAUUAAUUUCAUCUUUAAAAAAAAACAUUUGUGAGAAUUAUCUGAAGUCAUUUAUAUUCUUCAAAUAAUCUUAAAUAUUUAAGCUGUGAUAUAUCUGAUUGUGUGGCUGUUUUUUAUGUUUUUUUUUUUAUAUAUAUUCUGCUGUAGCCAGCUUGCUUUUAUGUCUCCAGUGUUACCAAUAACACACUCCUGGAAUUAAUCAACUUUAUUUUACUAUUCUAGC
rnacentral:lncRNA from 1 species